UGAUAGAGGCGCAGGUUUCAAGAGUAUUCUUCUGUAAAAGGCAGGGCAGCCGCAGAGGAAGAAAGGGGAAACUGCCGAAGAAGGAAAAUCUGCCCGGGGUUUUUCUUCUGGGACACUGCAGAAUAUGCAGCGUACUGUCACAACGAUGUGGAGCGCUAUC
rnacentral:ncRNA from 1 species